rnacentral:antisense_RNA from 1 species
GGGUGCUUGAGACUGUUUGUCUCAGGCGUUCAGCGGGAGACAGACAGAGAAAAGCCCCACCUGAUGAUAAAUCAAAGUGAGGCUCCCCUAUGCAUCAACACCAUAAGAGUAGCCUCUUACCUGUUGAAAAUCAACACGGGAGGCG